CAGCAGCCGCGGUAAAACGUAGGGGGCAAGCGUUGUCCGGAAUUAUUGGGCGUAAAGCGCGCGCAGGCGGUUCUUUAAGUCUGGUGUAUAAGUGCGGGGCUCAACCCCGUGAGGCACUGGAAACUGGGGAACUUGAGUGCAGAAGAGGAGAGCGGAAUUCCACGUGUAGCGGUGAAAUGCGUAGAGAUGUGGAGGAACACCAGUGGCGAAGCGGCUCUCUGGACUGUAACUGACGCUGAGGCGCGAAAGCGUGGGGAGCAAACAGGAUUAGAUACCCGCGUAGUCCCUGUCUCUUAUACAC
rnacentral:rRNA from 1 species